UACAGAGGUCUCAAGCGUUGUUCGGAUUCAUUGGGCGUAAAGGGUGCGUAGGCGGCGCGGUAAGUCGGAUGUGAAAUCUCGGAGCUUAACUUCGAAACUGCAUUCGAUACUGCCGUGCUUGAGGACUGGAGAGGAGACUGGAAUUUACGGUGUAGCGGUGAAAUGCGUAGAUAUCGUAAGGAAGACCAGUGGCGAAGGCGGGUCUCGUGGACAGGUUCCUGACGCUGAGGCACGAAGGUCAGGGGAGCAAACGGG
rnacentral:rRNA from 1 species